UGAGUACGAGAUGCUACGGCAUCGAAGCAGUCUAUGUCAUACUUCCAAGAAAAGCUUGCAAUGUCAUAAACAAAUAAUGCCUGUACCAUAACCGACACAGGUGGGUAGGUAGAGUAUACUAAGGGGCGCGAGAUAACUCUCUCUAAGGAACUCGGCAAAAUGACUCCGUAACUUCGGGAGAAGGAGUGCCUUAUUUUUAUAAGGUUGCAAUAACAAGAUCCAAGCAACUGUUUACCAAAAACACAGGUCUCCGCUAAGUCGUAAGACGAUGUAUGGGGGCUGACGCCUGCCCAGUGCCAGAAGGUUAAAGAAGUUGGUUAGCAUUAGCGAAGCUGAUAACUGAAGCCCUGGUGAACGGCGGCCGUAACCAUAACGGUCCUAAGGUAGCGAAAUUCCUUGUCGGGUAAGUUCCGACCCGCACGAAAGGCGUAAUGAUUUGGAUACUGUCUCGGAGAGGGGCUCGGUGAAAUAGACUUGUCUGUGAAGAUGCGGACUACCUGCACCUGGACAGAAAGACCCUAUGAAGCUUUACUGUAACUUGAGAUUGAAAUUGGACUUUAUCUGCGCAGUAUAGGUGGGAGACGUUGAAAAUAUUCUUGCGGGAAUAUUGGAGUCAUCAGUGAGAUACCACUCUUAUAAUGUUAGAUUUCUAACUUUGUAUCAUUAUCUGGUCAAAGAACAGUUUCAGGCGGGCAGUUUGACUGGGGCGGUCGCCUCCCAAACGGUAACGGAGGCGCACAAAGGUUUCCUCUGAACGUGUAGAAAUCGUAUCUAGAGUGUAAAGGCAUAAGGAAGCUUGACUGUGAGACCUACAAGUCGAGCAGGGACGAAAGUCGGUCUUAGUGAUCUGACGGUGCUGAGUGGAAAGGCCGUCACUCAACGGAUAAAAGUUACUCUAGGAUAACAGGCUGAUCUCCCCCAAGAGUUCACAUCGACGGGGAGGUUUGGCACCUCGAUGUCGGCUCAUCGCAUCCUGGGGCGGUAGUACGUCCCAAGGGUUGGGCUGUUCGCCCAUGAAAGCGGUACGCGAGCUGGGUUCAGAACGUCGUGAGACAGUUCGGUCCAUAUCCGGUGUAGGCGUUAGAAUAUUGAGAGGAGCCUUCUUUAGUACGAGAGGACCGAGAAGGACAUACCUCUGGUGUACCAGUUAUCGUGCCAACGGUAAACGCUGGGUAGCCAUGUAUGGAGAGGAUAACCGCUGAAAGCAUCUAAGUGGGAAGCCCACCUCAAGAUAAG
rnacentral:rRNA from 1 species